rnacentral:rRNA from 1 species
GAUGAACGCUAGCGGGAGGCCUAACACAUGCAAGCCGAGCGGUAGAGUUUCUUCGGAAACUUGAGAGCGGCGCACGGGUGCGUAACACGUGUGCAACCUACCUUUAUCUGGGGGAUAGCCUUUCGAAAGGAAGAUUAAUACCCCAUAAUAUAAUGAUUGGCAUCAAUUAUUAUUGAAAACUCCGGUGGAUAGAGAUGGGCACGCGCAAGAUUAGAUAGUUGGUGAGGUAACGGCUCACCAAGUCAAUGAUCUUUAGGGGUCCUGAGAGGGAGAUCCCCCACACUGGUACUGAGACACGGACCAGACUCCUACGGGAGGCAGCAGUGAGGAAUAUUGGACAAUGGGUGAGAGCCUGAUCCAGCCAUCCCGCGUGAAAGAUGACGGUCCUAUGGAUUGUAAACUUCUUUUGUACAGGGAUAGACCUACCCUCGUGAGGGUAGCUGAAGGUACUGUACGAAUAAGCACCGGCUAACUCCGUG